GGAAUGGGCAUCCCAACAACAGCAAGUCUUUCAUCAGUUAAAGGAAAAACUUCUGGCAGCCCCAGCCCUGGGGCUACCGGAUCUGACAAAGCCUUUUCCAUUGUAUGCGUCACAGAGAGAAAAGAUGGCAGCUGGACUUUUAACCCAAACUGUGGGGCCCUAGCUGAGGCCAGUGGCCUACGUCUCUAAACAACUAGACAGGGUUUCUGAAGGAUGGCCCCCCUGUUUGAGGGCCUUGGCAUCAACUGCCCUGCUAGUACAAGAAGCAAAUAAGCUGAUUCUUGGGCAAAACCUGAACAUAAAGGCCCCCCGUGCAGUGGUGACUGAGAGCCAGCCCCACACACCCACCCCACCCCCGGCUCUCAGGAUCUGCGGUGGACUCACAGCCUGUUUACCAUAUUGGCAUGGAGCGUGAUAGAAAGAAAAGAGCCUACUGAACUCUGGGGGAAAAGACAGAAAAUAUCAACAAGAAAUCUCGCAAUGAUUAGAAGCAGUGUGGAAACCCCACAAGGUGGCAGUUAUGCAUUGCAGAGGACACCAGCGAGCUUCCACCUUGCUGGGUUUGGGGAAUUCCCGCGCUGACUCAGAGGCUCGAAAAGCAGCAUCUGCCCCCUUUCGGGCAUCAGUGCUCCCUCAAGCACCUGAUCUUGGCCCUACUUCUUCUAAAGAAGAAAAGGACUUUCUCCAGGUAGAGGGAAGCACAAGUGAUGGAGGAAGGAUGGAUUCGGUUACCAGAUGGGAGAGUAGCUGCGCCACAGUUGCUAGGAGCUGCAGUUGUACAAGAAACCACCCAUCAAGGUCAGGAGUCACUGGAAAAAUUGUUAGGCCAGUAUUUCUAUAUCUCGCAUUUGUCAGCCCUUGCCAAAAUGGUGAGGCAGCGGUGUGUUACCUGCCGACAGCAUGAUGCGAGGCAAGGUCCAGCCGUUCCGCCCGGCAUACAAGCUUAUGGAGCAGCCCCCUUUGAAGAUCUCCAGAUUUCGACUGCCCUUACGGAUCGGCUGAGAUAACGGGCCUGCGUUUUUGGCGGCCUUGGUACAGAAGACGGCAAAGGUAUUGGGGAUCACACGGAAACUGCCUGCCACCUCCCGGCCUCAGAGUUCCGGAAAGGUGGAAUGGAUGAAUCGGACUUUCAAAAAUAGUACUAUUGUCUUCCCCGCUGGAUAUUUAAAACAACACCACAAGGGGCGUCAAACUACCUGCUAAAUUUGAGGGAAUGUUAUCCUCUCCCCACCUCCCCUGGCCCCGGAUAUUAGAGACAAUAACACAGGGGUAAUGUACACCCACUGUUUUAUUGGGAGUAAUAUCAUCCUCUCCCUUCUUGGAUAUUAGGAACAAUACCACACUGUACGUGUACGCCUGUUGCGAAAUUCAAUGGAAUGUCAUCCUGUGCCUCCCUGGAUAUGAUGAACAAUAUCACGGGGGAUGUACAACUUCUGAGAUAUUGGGAGUGAUAUCAUCCUCUCCCCUCUGGAAGUUAGGGACAAUAUCACAGGGGUAGUGUACACCCUCUGGGAUGUGGGGACUAAUAUCCUCCCGCCCACUGGAUAUUAAAAACCAUAUCACAAGGGGCGUGUACACACACUUCGAUAUUGGUAUUAAUACCAUCCUCUCCCUCUUUGGAUAUUCGGUGCCAUAUUUCAGGUGGGGUAUAUACCACCUGCAAUAUUGGAAGUAAUAUGAUUUUCUCCCCCCCAGAUAUCAGAAACAAUAUCGCAGGGAAGUGUCAGCAACUCCUGCGAUAUUUGGAGUAAUAUCAUCAUCUCCCCUCACGAAUAUUAAGAACAAUAUCAUAGGGGUGGGGGGUGUACACCCCCUUUCAUAUUUGAUAUCAUCCUCUUCCCCCCUGGAUAUCAGGAACAAUAUCAGGAAGGGAUGUACAGACCCUGCGACCUUUGCUGUCAUAUAAUUCUCUCUCCCCUAGAUAUUAGGAAAAAUGUCACUGGGAAUGUGAACAGCCCUGCGAUAUUGAGAGUAGUAUCAUCCUCUGCCCCCUUGCAUAUUGGGAACAACAUCACAGGUGGGGUGUACUCCCUCUGUGAUAUUGGGAAUGAAAGUUUCCUCUCUUCCCCUGGACAUUAGGAAGGGUAUCAGAGGGGGAGGGUGUACAUUCCCUGCGAUAUUCAAUGUAAGCUUAUCCUCUCCCUCCCAGGGUAUUCAGAAUAAUAGGACCGGAGGGGUGUACACCCUCUGCGAUAUUGACAGUCAUAUCAUCCUCUUUCACUCUGGAUAUUAGGAACAAUAUCACAGGGUUGUGUACACCCUCUGCGAUAUUGGGAGUGAUAUCAUCCUCUCUCCCUGUGGAUAUUAGGAAGAGUAUCACAGGGCUGUGUAAACCCCCUGCGGUACUGGGAGUAAUAUCAUCCUCUCUCCCUCUGGAUAUGAGGAAUAUUUUCCCAGGGGUGUGUACACCCCCUGCGAUAUUGGGAGUAAUAUCAUCCUCUCCACCCAGGAAAUGACUAACAAGGUCACGGGGGGGUGUACUCCCACUGUGACAUUGGGAGUAAUGUCAUCCUCCCCAAACCUGGAUGUUAGCAACGAGAUCACAGAGGGGGUGUACACACCCUGCGACAUUGGAAGUAAUAUGAUCCUCUCCCCACCUGGAUAUUGGGAAAGAUAUCACAGAGCGGGUAUACAUUUCCUAUGCUGUUGGGAGUGACAUCAUUCUUUUCCUUUCUGGAUAUUAGGAAGAAUAUCACAGGGGUGCUGUACAAUUACUUCGAUAUUGGGAGUAAUAUCAACCUCUAUUUUCCUGGAUAUUGGGCACAGAAACACGAAAGGGUGUACAACCCCUGCGAUAUUGGGAGUAAUAGCAUACUCUCCUUCCCUGGAUGCUAGAAAACAAUAUCCUCAGGGCUGAACACCCCCCGCGAUAUUGGGAGUCAUAUUUACUCCUUCACAGGCCAUUUGGAACAAUAUCAUGGGGAGUGUUUACAAACAGGGGUGGUGUACACCCCCUGUAAUAUUGGGAGUAACAUCAUUCUCUCCACCUCCAGAAAUUAAGAACAAUAUCCCGGCGGGAGUUGGUACACCCCCAGUGAUAUUGGGAAUAAUGUCAUCCUCUCCUUCCCUGGAUAUUCGGCACAGUAUCACAGGGGGGUGUACACCUUCUGUGAUAUUGGAAGCAACAUCAUCCUCUUCCCCGCUGGAUAUUAGAAAAAAUAUCACUCAUGGUGUACACCCACUGUGAUAUUAGCAAGAAUAUUACAGGGUGUACACCCACUCGGACUUUAGGAGAAACAGCUCCCUAAAAUGUCACAAAUAAUAUCACAAGGUAUACAGUAAUAUCUCCCUAGGAUAUGACAAAUACCAUCACAGGGUGCACACCCACUGUGAUAACAGGAGUAAUACAUCCCAAGGAUACUACCAAUAAUAUCACAAGGCCGUACACCCACUAUGACACAGGGAGUGAUAUCUCCCUAGGAUAUUACGAAUAACAUCACAGAAUGUACACCCAUGGUGUGCACCCACGGUGAUAUUAGGAGUAAUAUCAACCCAGGACAUAACCAAUAACACCACAGGGAAUACAGACAUGAUGUACACCCACAGUGAUGUUAUGAGAACCAUCUCCCUAGGAUAAUACCAAUAACAUCACAGAGUGUACACACACAGUAUACACCCACUGUGGCACUAGGAAUAAUAACUUUCUAAGAUAUUAUGAAUAGCAUCAGAGAACAUAAACACAUGGUGUACACCCAGUGUAACUUUAGGCAUAAUUUCUCCCUAGGAUAUUGCCAGUAACAUCUCACUGUGUACACACGUGGUGUACACCCACUGUGACAUUAAGGGUAAUAUCCCCCUAGGAUAUGAUGAAAAACAUCACAGGGCGUCCACCCAUGAUGUACACACACUGUGAUGUUAGGAAUAAUAUCUCCCUGGGAUAUUAUGAAUAAUACCACAGGGUGUACAGAAACUGUGAUAUUAGAGGUAAUGUGUCUCUAGGAUAUGAUGAAUAAUAUCACAGGGUGUACACCCACUGUGAUACUGGGAGCAAUAUCUCUCUAGGAUAGUACGAAUAAUAUCACAGAGUGUACACCCACUGUGAUAUUAGGAGAAAUAUCUCUCUGGGAUAUUACAAAUUAUAUCACAGAGUGUACACACAUGGUGUACACCCACUUUGAUAUUAGGAGUAAUAUCUUCCUACGACAUUACAAAUAACAUCGCAGAGUGUACACCCACUGUAAUAUUAGGAAUCGUAUCUCCCUAGGUGAUUACAAAUAAUAUCACAGGUUGUACACUCACUGUGAUAUUAGGAGUAAUAUCUACCGAGUAGAUAACAAAGAACAUCACAGGGUGUACACCCACUUUGAUAUUAGCUGUAAUAUUUUUCUAAGUUGUUACAAAUCAUAUCACAGGGUGUACAAACAGGGUGUGCACUCACUGUGAUAUCAGGAGUCAUAUCUCCUUAAUAUAUUAUGAAAAAUAUCACAGGGUGUACACCCACUGUAUUAUUAAGAGUGAUAUCUCUGUAGGAUAUUACAAUUAAUAUCACAGGGUGUGCAGCCACUGUGAUAUUAGGAGCAACAUCUUUCUAGGAUAUUACAAACAAUAUCACAGGGUGUACGCCCACUCUGAUGUCAGGAGCAAUAUCUCCCUAGGAUAUCCAAAAUAAUAUCACAGGGUGUACAAUCUCUGCCUUCCAGGUUCUAAGGGAUUCUCCUGCUUCAGCCUCCCGAGUAGCUAGGGUUACCCGCCACCACGCCCGGCUAAUUUUUUUUUAUUUUCACUAGAGACGGGGUUUCACCACGUUGGCCAGUCUGGUCUGGAACUCCUGACCUCAGGUGAUUCGUCGGCCUCGGCCGCCCAAAGUGCUGGGAUUACAGGUGUGAGCCAUGGCGCUCAGCCAAGAGUUAUAUAUUCAAUUCAUUUGGAAACACAGCUCCCAUAUUUGAGUGUGCAUGUACUUUAUGAAGAAAUGAUGUCAGAAAACCUAAGGAUGAUAAUAAAUAUGAAAAGUAACUGGCAUGUUAAAAGGUCUUCCGAUUAAGAACUCUAAGGUUCGAUUUCAUUUUUACAUAAUGCGGUCCUAGCUCUUGUAUCAUCCUUUUACAUAUUCCACAUCAAAGGAAUUUGUAGCACGGUGUCAAAAUAAAAUAGAGUGUAUUUC